ACCUCUCUCUGCUUUCUCUUAAAAUCACCAUUUCUGACUUUGCCCGAAAUUGGAAGAGAUUCCGCAGAGAAAAGAGGAAAGGAAAAAGCCACACUCUCACUCCAAAACACAAAUCGCAGUGACUGCUAAUAAAUGGAAAGUGGAAUUCACACGUAUUUCAUUUACCUAAAAAAAUUGACUUACAAAACAAACUAGAAAAGAUCUUAAUGUGGCUCAAGCAAUAGGAUGCAGCCUCUGUAUUUCUGAAGAAUCCUUCCUCUUUUUCAAGACAGAGUGUGACACUCCUCUAUUUUUGAGGUAGCAGAUAUGUUUGAAGAUGGAUUAUUAAAAACUGCUAGUGUUGUCGGCUACUGGUUACAUAUUCUGCCAAAGUGAAAAUAUUUACUCACAUCACAUGGAAAAAUGUAAUGGCAGGAAUCAUGCACAGCUUCCAUAGAAAGAAAUCUUCUGAGUCUCCUAGGUUGAUUGUAGCUGUGCUAUGUGGAAUUUUCAUGGGAUUUCUUAUUGGUUCUUCAAUUCCAAGUAUUUCAAUUUCCAAGGUUGAUCUUUCUCCUCAUCAUGGUCAUGUUGAGGGGAUGAGUUCUAUGUUGUCCACAUACUUUCCUUUGAACUCACAGAAUGCAUCAUUAUUUACUUCUGGAACUGCCAAUUCUCUUCCAGCUUCAGAGAGAAAUAGAACAAAGAUCUGCAUAACAAAAAAUCCACGCGGAGCAGAAUUAUUGGCACCAGGUAUUGUUGUAUCUGAAUCAGAUUUGGAGCUUCGUAGAUUAUAUGGAGAUCCUAGUGAGGACAUUGUGAAGUCAAAGUACCUUUUGGUCUUGACGGUUGGUAUGCGUCAAAUGGACAUUGUCAAUGAUAUAGUAUCCAAGUUUUCAGAGAACUUCUCCGUUCUUAUGUUCCACUAUGAUGGGACAGCCAGUGAGUGGGAUCAGUUUGAGUGGUCUCAACGUGCAAUUCAUGUUAGUGGAAGAAAACAAGCGAAAUGGUGGUAUGCGAAACGGUUUCUUCAUCCUGACAUUGUUGCCCCAUUCGAAUACAUAUUUAUCUGGGACGAAGACUUAGGAGUUGAAAAUUUUAAUGCAGAAGAAUAUCUUAAGCUUGUGAGAAAGCAUAAUUUGGAGAUUUCACAACCAGGGUUGGCAGAAAAUGAUGCUUUGACAUGGUUUAUGACUAGGAGGAGGGUAGAUGUGGAAGUUCACAUGGAAACAGAGGAACGGCCUGGUUGGUGCCAUGAUCGACAUCUGCCUCCAUGUGCAGGGUUUGUUGAAAUCAUGGCUCCAGUUUUCUCUAGAAGGUCAUGGCGUUGUGUUUGGCACAUGAUUCAGAAUGAUUUGAUACAUGGUUGGGGUUUAGAUCUUGCUCUGCAGAAAUGUGUGGAGAUAAGAGGCAAAAUUUCAUUGAUAUCUGCCGUGAAGUCUGAGUCACCACAAGAUUUUCACAAGAAAAAUCAGCCUGAUCAGAGAAGAAAUCAUUGCCCUGAGAAAUCAAGAAUAAGUUGAGUAUGAAAGCCAGACUUGUACUCCUUGAAUGCUUCUGUUCCAUUGGUUCAUGAGAUGAACAUUUCUCUGGAUUCCCUUCUCUUGUUUGUUUAUGUACUCAAGGAAGAUGCUCUCCAUUUAUCUUCGCAAAACCCCUUUUAACAUGAAUGUAAACCAUGUGAUAUUCAAUUACCACUGAAUGUCACGUCGGACCCACUUUGGCAUGGAAAUGCUUUCCACUCUUUAUUCUGAAAGUAACUCCAUAUCACCUGCAGUGAUCAAAAUCUGAUAGGACUUCUUGUGCUACUUUUCUCCUGCAAAUUUUAUUUCCAUGCUAAAUUGAUUACAGUGACCUAGUUGGAUGCUUGGUAUAAAAAUAUCAAAAUACAAAUGGUAUCCGUUUCCUUGUUAAGGAUCUCUCAUUUUGAGCAGGGCGUUCGAAAUUUACACAUGAAUGAAGUCAAGUCUAUGAUUUAUUUGUAGUACCUGUGAAGUUUGUGCAGUCAGUUUUCAAUAUGGCAGCACAUAUACAUAGAUCGCAAAUAUCUGUAUGAUUUGGCUCUUCCAUUUGUAUCAUAUGGUAAGAAAGUACUAUAGUAUGACAUUAUCUGGAUUUUCGAUAUUGCAAAGUUGCAGCCUGCCCAUGAGAAGAUAGGUGUUGUUGAUGCGCAGUGGAUAGUCCACAAGGUCUUGCCUUCACUGGGAGACCAGGGUGACGCGAAAGAUGGA